CGGGGGGACCACCCUCCAAGCCUAAAUACUACCCAGUGACCGAUAGCGUAUAGUACUGUGAAGGAAAGGUGAAAAGGACCCCGGGAGGGGAGUGAAAUAGAACCUGAAACCCUGUGCCUACAAGCACUGAGAGCACCUCAUGUGUGUGAUCAGGUACUUUUUGUAGAACGGUCCGGCGAGCGAAUGUAUGCAGCGAGGUUAAGUUGUUCAGCAAUGAAGCCGAAGCGAAAGCGAGUCUGAACAGGGCGAUAUAAGUUGCAUGCAUUGGGCCCGAAACCGAGUGACCUACCCAUGGUCAGGCUGAAGUGGAGGUAAAACUCCAUGGAGGGCCGAACCGACCUCCGUUGAAAAGGCGGCGGAUGAACUGUGGGUAGCGGAGAAAUUCCAAUCGAACUCGGAGAUAGCUGGUUCUCCCCGAAAUAGCUUUAGGGCUAGCCUCAUGUUAGAUUUCCGGAGGUAAAGCACUGAAUGGCCUAGGGCCCGAGAGGGUACCGAAGCCUAUCAAACUCUGAAUGCCGGAAAAUUGAUGCAUGGGAGUCAGACUAUGUGAGAUAAGUCUCAUAGUCGAAAGGGAAACAGCCCAGAUCUACAGCUAAGGUCCCAAAGCAGGUUUAAGUGGAAAAGGAUGUGGAGCUGCAUAAACAGCCAGGAUGUUGGCUUAGAAGCAGCCACUCAUUCAAAGAGUGCGUAAUAGCUCACUGGUCGAGUGGCUCUGCGCCGAAAAUUCAACGGGGCUAAAACCUGCACCGAAGCUUAGGCAUCCGCAAGGAUGGGUAGGGGAGCGUUGUGUAUGCGGUGAAGCGUUAGCGUAAGCGGGCGUGAAGCGUACACAAGUGAGAAUGCCGGAAUGAGUAGCGAGAAUGAUGUAAGAAUCAUCAUGGCCGAAAGCCUCAGGUUUUUGGAGGAAGGUUCGUCCGCUCCAAGUUAGCCGGGAGCUAAGGUGAGGCCGAAAGGCGUAGCCGAUGCACAUACGGUAGAGAUUCCGUAGCCGCCAAAAGAUUUAAGCAGGGGGACACUUUUGAAGUGUUGGAGCCGGGUGUUGGUUUACCCGGUGGUAACCGAGUGAAAUUUAGUAGCGAAGUCCAGCAUGGAGAGAGGCGAGAAAAGCCCUGUGUAUAUCUGAGGCGCCCGUACCGCAAACCGACACAGGUAGGUAGGAAGAAGAUUCUAAGGCCAACGGGAGAAGGGUUGUUAAGGAACUCGGCAAGUUGACCCCGUAACUUCGGGAGAAGGGGUGCUCACGCGAGUGAGCCGCAGAGAAUCGGCCCAAGCAACUGUUUAGCAAAAACACAGGUCUGUGCUAAAUCGAAAGAUGACGUAUACGGGCUGACGCCUGCCCGGUGCUGGAAGGUUAAGGGGACAUGUGCAAGCAUCGAACCGAAGCCCCAGUAAACGGCGGCCGUAACUAUAACGGUCCUAAGGUAGCGAAAUUCCUUGUCAGGUAAGUUCUGACCCGCACGAAUGGCGUAAUGAUUUGGGCACUGUCUCAACAGCCCGCCCGGCGAAAUUGUAGUACCGGUGAAGAUGCCGGUUACCCGCGACAAGACGGAAAGACCCCAUGGAGCUUUACUGCAGCCUAAUAUUGGGUUUCGGUAUUACAUGUACAGGAUAUGUGGGAGACUAGGAAGCAGAGGCGUCAGCUUCUGUGGAGUCAGCCUUGGGAUACCACACUUGUGAUGCUGGAAUUCUAACCUGCGGCCUUGAAUCAGGUCGGGGGACAUUGUUAGGCGGGCAGUUUGACUGGGGCGGUCGCCUCCUAAAAAGUAGCGGAGGCGUUCAAAGGUUGGCUCAGCAUGGACGGAAACCAUGCCAUAGAGUGCAAACGCGUAAGCCAGCCUAACUGCGAGACUGACGGGUCGAGCAGUAACGAAAGUUGGAGUUAGUGAUCCGGUGGUAUGUGAGUGGAAAUGCCAUCGCUCAACGGAUAAAAGUUACCCUGGGGAUAACAGGCUGAUCUCCCCCAAGAGU
rnacentral:rRNA from 1 species